GGACGAACGCUGGCGGCGUGCCUAAUACAUGCAAGUCGAGCGGACAGAUGGGAGCUUGCUCCCUGAUGUUAGCGGCGGACGGGUGAGUAACACGUGGGUAACCUGCCUGUAAGACUGGGAUAACUCCGGGAAACCGGGGCUAAUACCGGAUGGUUGUUUGAACCGCAUGGUUCAAACAUAAAAGGUGGCUUCGGCUACCACUUACAGAUGGACCCGCGGCGCAUUAGCUAGUUGGUGAGGUAACGGCUCACCAAGGCAACGAUGCGUAGCCGACCUGAGAGGGUGAUCGGCCACACUGGGACUGAGACACGGCCCAGACUCCUACGGGAGGCAGCAGUAGGGAAUCUUCCGCAAUGGACGAAAGUCUGACGGAGCAACGCCGCGUGAGUGAUGAAGGUUUUCGGAUCGUAAAGCUCUGUUGUUAGGGAAGAACAAGUACCGUUCGAAUAGGGCGGUACC
rnacentral:rRNA from 1 species